CCAUUUCCAUUUUCAUUUCCCUGAUUGCUAGUGAAGUAUGUCCAGCCUCCCUGGUUCUCACCCACUAUAUGCCAGCAGCACCUUUGAAUCACUACAACCACCAAAAAAGGCCUCCUCUCCACCAGCAAAUUCCUGAAAUGGCACCUCAGAAGAUGGGACUAUCCGUAUUGAAUGACACUGGUCUAGAAGUAGGAGAUUCUAAAUCUAAUCAGGGCCCUGUGUCCCCUCCCACUUUUUCUCCCAGAGAUGGCAUUCUGAGUAUAUGAAGAAAAUUACUGCAUCCUGACAGCAGAUGAACAUUAUUGCAUCCUCACUGCAAGGUUGGUGGCUUCAGC
rnacentral:lncRNA from 1 species